AGAGUUUGAUCAUGGCUCAGAUUGAACGCUGGCGGCAGGCCUAACACAUGCAAGUCGAGCGGUAGCACAGAGAGCUUGCUCUCGGGUGACGAGCGGCGGACGGGUGAGUAAUGUCUGGGAAACUGCCUGAUGGAGGGGGAUAACUACUGGAAACGGUAGCUAAUACCGCAUAACGUCGCAAGACCAAAGUGGGGGACCUUCGGGCCUCAUGCCAUCAGAUGUGCCCAGAUGGGAUUAGCUAGUAGGUGGGGUAACGGCUCACCUAGGCGACGAUCCCUAGCUGGUCUGAGAGGAUGACCAGCCACACUGGAACUGAGACACGGUCCAGACUCCUACGGGAGGCAGCAGUGGGGAAUAUUGCACAAUGGGCGCAAGCCUGAUGCAGCCAUGCCGCGUGUGUGAAGAAGGCCUUCGGGUUGUAAAGCACUUUCAGCGGGGAGGAAGGCGGUGAGGUUAAUAACCUCACCGAUUGACGUUACCCGCAGAAGAAGCACCGGCUAACUCCGUGCCAGCAGCCGCGGUAAUACGGAGGGUGCAAGCGUUAAUCGGAAUUACUGGGCGUAAAGCGCACGCAGGCGGUCUGUCAAGUCGGAUGUGAAAUCCCCGGGCUCAACCUGGGAACUGCAUUCGAAACUGGCAGGCUAGAGUCUUGUAGAGGGGGGUAGAAUUCCAGGUGUAGCGGUGAAAUGCGUAGAGAUCUGGAGGAAUACCGGUGGCGAAGGCGGCCCCCUGGACAAAGACUGACGCUCAGGUGCGAAAGCGUGGGGAGCAAACAGGAUUAGAUACCCUGGUAGUCCACGCCGUAAACGAUGUCGAUUUGGAGGUUGUGCCCUUGAGGCGUGGCUUCCGGAGCUAACGCGUUAAAUCGACCGCCUGGGGAGUACGGCCGCAAGGUUAAAACUCAAAUGAAUUGACGGGGGCCCGCACAAGCGGUGGAGCAUGUGGUUUAAUUCGAUGCAACGCGAAGAACCUUACCUGGUCUUGACAUCCACAGAACUUUCCAGAGAUGGAUUGGUGCCUUCGGGAACUGUGAGACAGGUGCUGCAUGGCUGUCGUCAGCUCGUGUUGUGAAAUGUUGGGUUAAGUCCCGCAACGAGCGCAACCCUUAUCCUUUGUUGCCAGCGGUCCGGCCGGGAACUCAAAGGAGACUGCCAGUGAUAAACUGGAGGAAGGUGGGGAUGACGUCAAGUCAUCAUGGCCCUUACGACCAGGGCUACACACGUGCUACAAUGGCAUAUACAAAGAGAAGCGACCUCGCGAGAGCAAGCGGACCUCAUAAAGUAUGUCGUAGUCCGGAUUGGAGUCUGCAACUCGACUCCAUGAAGUCGGAAUCGCUAGUAAUCGUAGAUCAGAAUGCUACGGUGAAUACGUUCCCGGGCCUUGUACACACCGCCCGUCACACCAUGGGAGUGGGUUGCAAAAGAAGUAGGUAGCUUAACCUUCGGGAGGGCGCUUACCACUUUGUGAUUCAUGACUGGGGUGAAGUCGUAACAAGGUAACCGUAGGGGAACCUGCGGUUGGAUCACCU
rnacentral:rRNA from 1 species